AGUGAACGCUGGCGGUAGGCCUAACACAUGCAAGUCGAACGGCAGCACAGUAAGAGCUUGCUCUUACGGGUGGCGAGUGGCGGACGGGUGAGGAAUACAUCGGAAUCUACUUUUUCGUGGGGGAUAACGUAGGGAAACUUACGCUAAUACCGCAUACGACCUACGGGUGAAAGCAGGGGAUCUUCGGACCUUGCGCGAUUGAAUGAGCCGAUGUCGGAUUAGCUAGUUGGCGGGGUAAAGGCCCACCAAGGCGACGAUCCGUAGCUGGUCUGAGAGGAUGAUCAGCCACACUGGAACUGAGACACGGUCCAGACUCCUACGGGAGGCAGCAGUGGGGAAUAUUGGACAAUGGGCGCAAGCCUGAUCCAGCCAUACCGCGUGAGUGAAGAAGGCCUUCGGGUUGUAAAGCCCUUUUGUUAGGAAAGAAAAGCAGCAGGUGAAUACCCCGCUGUUCUGACGGUACCCAAAUAAUAAGCACCGGCUAACUUCGUG
rnacentral:rRNA from 1 species